CUAGGGAAACAGAAGAGUGUCCCAUGGGGGCUGGCUCUCCCUGAGCCCCUCCCUCUGGGUAGUAUCCACCUCUCUCCCCUCUUUAACCUAUUUGGGCUAGGAUACGCCCCACCCAGAAGACACCUCCUGCAGGAAGCCCUCAGGCUUUGCCUCCUCCUACUCCCCAUCUAUCCAUGCUGACAUUUUCUGCUUCCAUCACUCUUCCCUUCCCCCAGACUGUGGACAGGAGCCACACCUGAUUUGGUGUCUCCAUCACGCCCAGCAACAAGGCUGGCUCAUGGAAUCACAGCAGUCGCUUGAGGAAUGAAUGAGUUUGUCCCUGCCUGCGUUGUCACACUCAAGAAUGUUAUGACUGCAGGACCUUCCUUUGAACUAAGCCUUUCAUGGACUCUCCACACGAUAAAGCAGAUGAAAAGACAGCCGGAGAUGGGGUUCUGCAGGAGAGAUGGGGAAGCAGGCAUCUGAGACCAACGUCGCUCAGGCUCCUGGGCACCAUCCUCCCUAACAGUCUUCUGCUUCCACCCCAUCCUGGGCCAAGCCUAGGGGCUGCCCCCGAUCUACCCCAGGUUUCACUUUAUCAGUGUUCAGGAAAAAGAACAAACUCAACCCAAGAAGUCAACACGUCCUGCAUGAACUCUGUGCUCGCCCAGCAAGUGGGAGGCUGAGGCCAUGUGGGAUCCA